UCAUGCAAAUGAAGUGACCUGUACAAG
rnacentral:piRNA from 1 species